AACGAACGCUGGCGGCAUGCCUAACACAUGCAAGUCGAACGAAGUCUUCGGACUUAGUGGCGCACGGGUGCGUAACGCGUGGGAAUCUGCCCUUGGGUGCGGGAAUAACUUCUCGAAAGGGAUGCUAAUACCGCAUAAUGUCGUAAGACCAAAGAUUUUAUCGCCCAAGGAUGAGCCCGCGUAAAGAUUAGCUAGUUGGUGGGGUAAAAAGCCUACCAAGGCGACGAUCUUUAGCUGGUCUGAGAGGAUGAUCAGCCACACUGGGACUGAGACACGGCCCAGACUCCUACGGGAGGCAGCAGUGGGGAAUAUUGGACAAUGGG
rnacentral:rRNA from 1 species